rnacentral:rRNA from 1 species
UACGGGGGGGGGCAAGCGUUGUUCGGAAUUACUGGGCGUAAAGGGCUCGUAGGCGGCCAACUAAGUCGGAUGUGAAAUCCCCAGGCUCAACUUGGGAACUGCAUCCGAUACUGGAUGGCUUGAAUUCGGGAGAGGGAUGCAGAAUUCCAGGUGUAGCGGUGAAAUGCGUAGAUAUCUGGAGGAAUACCGGUGGCGAAGGCGGGUCUCUGGGCCGUAACUGACGCUGAGGAGCGAAAGCGUGGGGAGCGAACAGG